UUGUGUAUGUUUCCCGACCUCUUCUCGAGACCUUGGGGCUCAGGUCCUGGUGGCCGUCGGGGGUCUAGUCUCCUGUGAUGUAGGAAAGAAGGAACUAGAGCGCCUAGCUCCCUAUCUCUGCUCCGCUUUUUACAAACGGUACUAAAUUCCUGGGAAGUUUCGGGAGGUACACGUCGGCACUCCCCAGCUAAUCUCUGAGAACUUUUAAUUCGGGGCCCUGGUGUACGUAAAGGUUAGUCCACGAGGUGCGCAGAAGGGACAAGGGCUACUAGGCCAGUCGCGCUCUCCGAGUUCUGGUGUCCUGUUUGCUCUGAGCUUUCCCUGGAGAACUUCAGUUUCAGCGUGGCCGUAAUUCGGAAAGACUGAAGGUAGAAAACUCUGGAACGGAGAUUGGCGACUGGAGCAGGAUCCAGGGACUUUAAAUUUUAACCUGAAUUCGAUUGAAUGCAUCUACCAGAAGAGAUAGUCCGGCGUCCGCCGUCCACUCAACUCCGACCAGGGCUUCCAAUGCCUUUCUUUUGGUUUCUACACUGGCUUUCCAACCAGAGGAGAGAAUGGAUAGUGAAAUUUUUUUCUUGUCAGUUAACUUCAAAAUAAAACAAAACUGUUUGACCCGUGGAGUUUAUUCAGACGGAAAGCCAGGUUGCCUGACUCGUCCAGUUUGCAAUUUUCCCAGCGCAUCGGCUUUGGCCCCGGAGACAACACCCCCAGGGAGAGGCACAUUUUCAAAGCCACCCUUCACCGGCCCCAGGCCCGGGGCUCUGAUCUCCCUGAGCGCCUCAGUUGGUCCCGGAAAGCGAGGAGAAGAGGGGGUGCAGAGGAAGAAGUGCACCCAAAGAGCUGGCGAAGGCCCCCAUAGUGUUCCAGAGACGUCAGGUGGUGACGGCGGAAGCACUGAAAAUGCGCAGCCUAGA
rnacentral:lncRNA from 1 species